rnacentral:lncRNA from 10 species
CUCAACCAUACUCCAAACUCUCUCUUUUCCAGCUACCUUUACUCCCUCUCCUUCAAUUCCACUUUCCUCUGCUUACUUUUUUUUUUUUUCUGACAGGGUCUCACUUUGUCGCCCGGGCAGGAGUGCAGUGGCUCAAUCUUGGGCUCACUGCAGCCUCAACCUCCCAGGUUCAAGCGAUUCUCCUGCCUCAGCCCCUCAAGUAGCUGGGACUACAAGCGCACACCACCACGCCUGACUAAUUUUUUGUAUUUUUUUGUAGAGGCGGGGUUUCACCAUGUUGCCCAGACUGGUCUUGAACUCCUGAGCUUAAGCAAUCCACCUGCCUCGGCCUCCCAAAGUGUUGGGAUCACAGGCGUGAGCCACCGCAUCCGGCCUCAUGUUCUUUUUCAUUAAAGAGAGAAAUCAACUAUUCAGGACCGGCCCCCACCUUUCCUCAGGAGUCAUUUCUGUUCCGCACAGGCCUGCUGAACUGGGUGCUUUAUAUAGGACACUGUCAUCUCUCAAGUACCCAUCUUGGAGGGUACGGACCCCACAUGAGGGUGAGGCUCUCUGCACACUCCAGAAAAGGACCAACCACACCGAGCUCAGUUAUGGCACACACAGUGGGACCUAGACAAAGGGAGAGGGUGACCGACAUCCCAACUAGAUUUCAGUGGAGUGAAGUUCAGGAGGCAUGGAGCUGACAACCAUGAGGCCUCGGCAGCCACCGCCACCACCGCCGCCGCCACCACCGUAGCAGCAGCAGCAGCAGCAGCAGCAGCAGCAGCAGCAGCAAGAGUAACUCUGACUUAGGAAUAGAGACAGCCAGAGAGAAAUGUGAUCAAUGAAGGAGACAUCUGGAGUGUGCGUGCUUCUUCAGAGGGACGGGUGAUGGGCAGAUUGGAAAAAGCACCGCAGAUGGGAACCUUAAUCUUUCUUUUCUAAAAUUGAUGCUAUGAAAAUUUGCGUUUUCUGUAACUUGUAAAAACUAAAAGUUGCUUGUCU